rnacentral:ribozyme from 1 species
AUUUAUUUAUUUAUUAUUUUCUGUAAUUGUUUUGUAGCUCACGAAAGUUCAAACAAAUAAAAAAACAAAGUA